rnacentral:rRNA from 1 species
CAGUAGCCGCGGUAAUACGAAGGGUGCAAGCGUUAAUCGGAAUUACUGGGCGUAAAGCGCACGCAGGCUGUUUGUUAAGUCAGAUGUGAAAUCCCCGAGCUUAACUUGGGAACUGCGCUUGUGACUGCACAGCUAGAGUAUGGCAGAGGGGGGUGGAAUUCCACGUGUAGCAGUGAAAUGCGUAGAGAUGUGGAGGAACACCGAUGGCGAAGGCAGCCCCCUGGGCCAAUACUGACGCUCAUGCACGAAAGCGUGGGGAGCAAACAGGAUUAGAUACCCGCGUAGUCCCUGUCUCUUAUAC